UACGGAAGGCAGCAGUGGGGAAUAUUGCACAAUGGGCGCAAGCCUGAUGCAGCCAUGCCGCGUGUAUGAAGAAGGCCUUCGGGUUGUAAAGUACUUUCAGUCGUGAGGAAGGUGUUAAGGUUAAUAACCUUAGCAAUUGACGUUAGCGACAGAAGAAGCACCGGCUAACUCCGUGCCAGCAGCCGCGGUAAUACGGAGGGUGCGAGCGUUAAUCGGAAUUACUGGGCGUAAAGGGCACGCAGGCGGUUAAUUAAGUUGGAUGUGAAAUCCCCGGGCUUAACCUGGGAAUGGCAUUCAAGACUGGUUAGCUAGAGUCUUGUAGAGGGGGUAGAAUUCCAUGUGUAGCGGUGAAAUGCGUAGAGAUGUGGAGGAAUACCGGUGGCGAAGGCGGCCCCUGGACAAGACUGACGCUCAUGUGCGAAAGCGUGGGGAGCAAACAGGGAUUAGAUACC
rnacentral:rRNA from 1 species